GUGGGGCCGACGAAGGCUUGUCAGGUUUGGAUGUGAGCAAGAACUAUGGGCCAAUAAGGAGCUGAUACCUGGGAGCUAGAUGAUGUGUAAGGGAUUUUGCUUGGGGUUGGAUGGUUAGAUUUUCCUAGAUUAUGUUCUCCUGUAUGCAACACUUUAAAUAGUGGCAUCUUUGCUUAUUAUUGGCCUACUUGUUCCUUGAGGGAAUAAUGCUGCUAUUUUCUCCUUUUAAUAUUGAUUGUAUAUAUGUUAGAUAAAUUUGGUAUAGCUGGGCCUCUUGAGCAUCGUUCUAUUUCAAACAUAUCCAGAACAUGAUGAAGAUUGAGGGACUUGAUGUUUUCUGCUCUUUAUACCUCAAAUCAAAUUUGAGAAAUUUCGCA